rnacentral:misc_RNA from 1 species
AACGAGGCCGACCUGCGGCUGAGUUACCUGCGGAGGGAUCAUUGCUGGAACGCGCCCCUGGCGCACCCAGAAACCCUUUGUGAACUUAUACCUUACUGUUGCCUCGGCGUCGAGCCGGCCCCUCCCCCGGGGCCCCCUGGAGACAGGGAGCAGCCCGCCGGCGGCCAACCAGACUCUUGUUUCUUAGUGAAUCUCUGAGUAAAAAAACAUAAUGAAUCAAAACUUUUAACAAUGGAUCUC